GUCUUCCUACCCAGCGCCGCGGCUCUCGGAGGCUGCCAGUGGCUGGGUGCGCCUGGCCUGAGUCCUCCACCCGAAGAAAAUAAGGAACCUGGCCAGAGAGAGGCAAAAGGAAGAGUCUGCUCCUCAUGUUCCUUCUUGCUGUGGUUUUACCCUCGCCACUUAUUUCGUGGUCAUUCAUUGAAAGGCACAGAAGCAACACUGCAAAUAUCACAAAUCUCCAGCACCGUAUGCUGUUACUCUGAGCUGGAUUUUUUGUUCUUUUGUUUGCAUAGAUUAUUCUGCUUUUAAUCUUCAAAAUCUGCGCAUGAAAGGGGACUGCACAGAAUUUUUUUUUUCUUUUUGAGAUGGAAUCUCAUUCUGUCUGUCACUCAGGCUGGUGUGUGCAGUGGCAAGAUAUAGGCUCACGGCAACCUCUGCCUCCCUGGUUCCAGCGAUUCUCCUGCCUCAGCCUCC
rnacentral:lncRNA from 1 species